rnacentral:rRNA from 1 species
AUGGGCCAUAGGAGAGAGGGGAGGCAGCCCACAAGGGGUGGCCGCGCCCCCCUCCCAUGGGGAGUCCGAAUUGGACUAGGGGAGGGGCGCGCCCCCCUUUCCUUCUCCUCUUCCCUUUCCCUUCGCCUUCCCCCCUCCGUAAGAAAGGAAGGAGGGCUGAAUAGGACUUGGAGUCCUAUUCGGUUUCCCCGCAUGGCGCGCCCCCUUAGGCCGGCGGCCUCCUCCCCUCCUCCUUUAUAUACAGGGGCAGGGGGGCACCCCAAGGCACAACAGUUGUCUCUUAGCCGUGUGCGGUGCCCCCCUCCACAGUUUAUUCCUCGGGUCAUAGCAUCGUAG